rfam:Delta proteobacterium ML8_D scaffold_51, whole genome shotgun sequence.
AAGAUCGAUUAAGAUCUCGUCUGGAGAAAGCCGGUGUAGAAAACUAUGAGCCGACCAACAGAAAUGUCAUGCAAGGCCCUGUUUCAGGGCAAGGCAGCACCUGUAUGCGUACGGAUGCAUAGUAAGGUAACUUGACAAAGUCCCGGGUUUGGAAAGAAUUGGUAAAUGCCGCGGUGGUGCAACAAAAGAUCACGUC